AUUUGAAGUUUGUGUUACUUGUGUUUUAUAGAAAACAAUUUAAAAAAAAGAAGAAUUCUCUGCUUAUUUCCACCAAAUGGAGAAUGGUACACAGGUUGUGUACUCAAGCAAUCUGAUGCAGGAAACUACUUUGUAAGAUAUGAUGAGGACGGGGUACAGAGAUGGCUGUUGAAGCAUCAGAUUAAGGAACUGGUAUCACAGGAAGCAGAAAGCUGCGAUAGUAAA